UACGUAGGGUGCAAGCGUUGUCCGGAAUUAUUGGGCGUAAAGGGCUCGUAGGCGGUCCAUCACGUCGGGAGUGAAAAGCUGGGGCUUAACCCCAGUCCUGCUUCCGAUACGGGUGGACUAGAGGUAGGCAGGGGAGAACGGAAUUCCUGGUGUAGCGGUGAAAUGCGUAGAUAUCAGGAGGAACACCUGCGGUGUAGACGGCUUUCUGGACCAUUGCUGACGCUGAGACACGAAAGCGUGGGUAGCAAACAGG
rnacentral:rRNA from 1 species